GCAGAGCAGUCAGUCAGAGGAUGAGAGCCAGCUUGUCCUGAAACAGCCUUCAGCUUCAGCUGUACACAUAGAGUCACAUGUGGAUGGUAAAGAUGAAAGACCCUCAACAUCACAUACACAUCAGGGUGUGUCCAGUGCUGACAAUCCAGAGGUUCCUGCAGGCCAUGCACAGGGGGAUAGUGGUGUGGCAGUCCCAUUUGGCGGGCACGGACCUAUUGGUAUGUCUUAACAAUUAAUUUUUCAUAUGAAGUAUAAUAUGCUUAAUAUUUUAGGCACAUUUUAUUAUCAUUCUAAUGACAACCUAUGUGUUAUUGCAGAGUCAAAUGAAGAUUCCUGUGUUGAAUGAUGUCUUAUUUAUUUUAAUUUUGUUGGCACUUUAUAAAGUGACUGUUUUAGAAUAAGGAUUUUCUUUUGUAUGUAACCUACUUUGGGAAUUUACAAAUUAUUUUGGCAUUAUUUAACAGUUCACUUUACAAUGUUAAAACAAGAUUUGCUGGUAUGUGAGGAGGGAUGUGACUUUUGUUUAUACCUGGGAGUUCAGGUUUCUCUGUUGCUGAGAAUACUACAGUAACUUACUACACUGUGGCACAUGUGACAAGUUUUGUCAAGUAAAUGUUUUGCCCAAACAGGCUUAUUUAUUGUAAUUUUGUUGGCACUUUAUACAGUGCACUUUAUACAGAAAGUGCAUUGUCUUUUUUGUAUGUACUGUAUAUCAUACCUUGGAAGGUUGUUUUGAGGUUAGAAUAAAGUAUGGCAGUUUUCAAUCACAUUU